UACGAAGGGUGCUAGCGUUGUUCGGAAUCACUGGGCGUAAAGCGCGCGUAGGCGGUUAUUCAAGUCAGGGGUGAAAUCCUGAGGCUCAACCUCAGAAUUGCCUUUGAAACUGUAUAACUGGAGUGUCGGAGGGGAUAGCGGAAUUGCUAAUGUAGCGGUGAAAUGCGUAGAUAUUAGCAGGAACACCGGUGGCGAAGGCGGCUAUCUGGACGACAACUGACGCUGAGGCGCGAAAGCGCGGGGAUCAAACAGG
rnacentral:rRNA from 1 species